rnacentral:rRNA from 1 species
UACGUAGGCAGCAAGCGUUGUUCGGAAUUACUGGGCGUAAAGAGUGUGUAGGCGGUGUCGUAAGUUUGGCGUGAAAUCUCCCGCUUAACUGGGAGGGUGCGCCGAAGACUGCGGUGCUUGAGGAUCGGAGAGGAAAGUGGAAUUUCUGGUGUAGCGGUGAAAUGCGUAGAUAUCAGAAGGAACACCUGUGGUGUAGACGGCUUUCUGGACGAUUCCUGACGCUGAGACACGAAAGCGUGGGUAGCAAACAGG